AGAUUUUGCUUAAAAAAGUGAAGUAACAUGUUCAAUUUUUAUAUCCAGUCGCUCGUACUGCAUACAGACUCUCCUAACAAACCGACACACUGACUAAGCUGAUGAUUCACUCAAGGAAUAACCGUCCACUGUAGAGUUAUCAUUCCCGUGGAAGAUAAUGGAAAUACCUGAGGUAUCACCCCAGUGCCAGAACUAAUAGUCCACCAGUUGCGGUAUCUUCCCGACGCCAGAAAUGGAACUAACCGUGCGACAACGACAGUAUCAACCCGAUACCAAAAAAUGAAACAGUAGUUUACAGAAGUUCAGAACUCGUUAAACCAUUUUGAAUACACAAACCAAG
rnacentral:lncRNA from 1 species